UUAAGCUAGAAAGAGCGCAGGGUGGAUGCCUUGGCACUAAGAGCCGAUGAAAGACGUGAUAAGCUGCGAAAAGCUUCGGGGAGGAGCAAAUAUCCUUUGAUCCGGAGAUCUCUGAAUGGGGAAACCUACUUGAGUGUACCUCAAGUGACGUAUGGUGAAUACAUAGCCAUACGCCGGGAACCCGGUGAACUGAAACAUCUAAGUAGCCGGAGGAAGAGAAAGAAACAUCGAUUCCGAAAGUAGCGGCGAGCGAAAUUGGAAGAGCCCAAACCGGAAUGCGUGCAUUCCGGGGUUAUGGACCACGUUAUGUGACCCGUAUGGUAAUGGAACAGUCUGGGAAGUCAGACCAGAGAGGGUGAAAGUCCCGUACAUGAAACCAGAAGGGAGCUAGUGGGAUCCAGAGUACUGCGAGACACGUGGAACCUUGCAGGAAGUCGGGGGGACCACCCCCCAAGGCUAAAUACUCCUUAGUGACCGAUAGCGCAUAGUACUGUGAAGGAAAGGUGAAAAGGACCCCGGGAGGGGAGUGAAAGAGAACCUGAAACCCUGUGUUUACAAGCUGUGGAAGCACGUUAAGGUGCGACCGCGUACUUUUUGUAGAACGGUCCGGCGAGUUGCGGAUGCUGGCAAGGUUAAGCACUAAAGGUGCGGAGCCGAAGCGAGAGCAAGUCUGAAUAGGGCGUCAAGUCAGCAUGUGCAGACCCGAAACCGGGUGAUCUAUCCAUGUCCAGGUUGAAGCGAAAGUAAAAUUUCGUGGAGGACCGAACGCACAUCCGUUGAAAAGGGUGGCGAUGAGGUGUGGAUAGGGGAGAAAUUCCAAUCGAACCCGGAGAUAGCUGGUUCUCCUCGAAAUAGCUUUAGGGCUAGCCUCGUAUUAGUCUGGUGGAGGUAGAGCACUGAAUUUCCUAGGGGGCGUCAAAGCCUACCGAAGAAUAUCAAACUCCGAAUGCCAUACAGAUGAUGUACGGGAGUCAGACGGCACGAGAUAAGUUGGGUCGUCAAAAGGGAAAGAGCCCAGACCUGCAGCUAAGGUCCCAAAGUGUGUGUUAAGUGGAAAAGGAUGUGGGAUUUCAAAGACAACUAGGAUGUUGGCUCAGAAGCAGCCACACAUUCAAAGAGUGCGUAAUAGCUCACUAGUCGAGAGGUCCUGCGCCGAAAAUGUCCGGGGCUGAAACACAACACCGAAGCUCAGGAAUGUAUUUAUACAUUGGUAGAGGAGCAUUCUUAAAGGGGCGAAGCAGUACCGAUAAGGAGCUGUGGACUUUUAAGAAGAGAGAAUGCCGGAAUGAGUAGCGAGAUGGAGGUGGGAAUCCUCCAGGCCGAAUAUCUAAGGUUUCCAGGGUAAAGCUGAUCUGCCCUGGGUAAGUCGGGGCCUAAGGCAAGGCUGAGAAGCGUAGCUGAUGGACAACAGGUUUAGAUUCCUGUACCACAUGGUAUCAGAACUGUGGGGACGCAGAGGGAUAAGAUGACCGGGGAACAGAACUCCGGGCAAGCGUAGGAGGUGUCAGGCAGGCAAAUCCGCCUGAUAAGCCAAAGACGUGACGCGGACCGAACUCAAGUAGGGAAGCAUCCGAUUCCAGCUGCCGAGAAAAGCCGCUAUUGUGUAUCAUGUGCCCGUACCGUAAACCGACACAGGUGGAUGAGGAGAGAAUCCUAAGGCCGGCGGGAGAAGCAUUGUUAAGGAACUCGGCAAAAUGACCCCGUAACUUCGGGAUAAGGGGUGCCAGAGAGAUCUGGCCGCAGAGAAUAGGCUCAAGCAACUGUUUAGCAAAAACACAGGUCUAUGCGAAACCGUAAGGUGAUGUAUAUGGGCUGACGCCUGCCCGGUGCUGGAAGGUUAAGAGGAGAGGUUAGAGCAAUCGAAGCUUUGAAUUGAAGCCCCAGUAAACGGCGGCCGUAACUAUAACGGUCCUAAGGUAGCGAAAUUCCUUGUCGGGUAAGUUC
rnacentral:rRNA from 1 species